UACUGCUGUUACACUAGUACUAUAUACUGUUAUUACACUAGUACUAUAUACUGUUAUUACACUAGUCCAAUGGGUUGUGUUUCCUAACAGAUUAGCCACUGAUUAAUUAGGUUGUGUUUCCUAACAGAAGAUAGAGGUGAUUGAUGAUGAUGAUGGUGUUGAGAUGGUCGGAUCUGAUAUGGAUAACAUGCAUAAUCCCUGGAGUUCAAGCUUGAGGAGGUGCAGUAUCUGGAGAGCCAACUAGAGAAUCAGAAUCAGAGAUAUAUGAGUUGGAGACCUUCACCAAGAGUCUUCUGACCGCUGUACGGACCAACAACCUGAACAGACAACAGGAACUUCUAGCCAGUCUACCUCAGCCUGCAGAUCAGGACUGGGACAUGAGUCCAGAGGGAGGACCAACUCCAUCUCCAUAACAACACACUCUGCAGACAAUCACGAUUCCGACGAGACGCCAUUGGUCAACCCCAACAAGGACCUCCCAUUGGUCACUCUAAACGAAGACGGUUCGUUGAUUGCUGAGCUCAACGAGUCGUCUGUAUCAGAGGAUCUAGAGACUGAGACCGGACCAGAGUGACUGUACUGACACACACAAACACACCCUGUGCCUGUGGAAGGAUCCUAAACUAGCUGGGCUCACAAUGCCUUUUAUAUGACUUAUCACUACGCCUUGUCUGGUCUAGUUUCAGACACAACAAUAAACAGACUCCAUAACAACUGA